GUGUUUGCUUCAACAUCACAUAGGCACAUAUUGAAAUGAUACAGAGAAAAUUAGUAUGGCUCCCAUGCAAGAAUAACACUCUACUUCACAAACAAUUCCAAUGUCAA
rnacentral:snRNA from 1 species